CCCCCACCCACUGCCCCUCACUCCCUGCCUGGGGCUGUGGGGGCAGUUACACCCCCAAGCACCCCCAGCUCUUUGAGGAUGUGAAGGAUUUGGGGGCCACACGGGGGAUUUGGGAGCACACAGCUCAGCAGGGAUUUGAGUCAGGUUUCCACCUUGGAGGGCUCAGGAGGGUGUGACCUCUCUCUGUGUCCCCAGACCUUCCUGAACCCGUGGUACGAGGCCAGCCUGGGCCCCAUCCUCAUCCUCACGCUCUGCACUGGCCUCUGGGCCUUCAGCACCGCUGGUGGCUCCUUCCACAACGUCCUCAAGUGCCUCUCGUGUAAGCAGGAGCCUGAGGGCCAGGCCAUGCUCUGCUCGGCGCUGCCGGUGCCUCCUGAGGGCUGAGGGAGCCGUGGCCCCACAGCCAGACCCUCCUGUGAAAGCCUUCACCCCUCCUGCUCCGGGGGAAUUUGUGUCUGCCCAGUGCCUGGGGGCCUUUGGGGUCUGACUGGUGCUCCUGGGGAAUUUGGGGUCUGACCACCACCCUCUUCCCUUUGUUCCCAGAUUCUCUGAACUCCUUUCCCUCAGUUUGAGCCUCUGGGGAAGGCCAGGGUGGGCCAGAUGCCCUGGGGGGAGUCAGGGCAGGACCCCCCCCCAUUUCCCUGUGUUUGUCACCCUGGGGGUGUCCCCACCCCUGGUGAAGCUCUGGGUGUGGGGGACACCGGGACUGGGAUGCUCUGCCCUUCUCGCCCCUGUUCAGUCCCAGGGGAGUAAAUUAUUUUUUUAAUUAAGAGUAAAACCGUUUUACAAAACCA